rnacentral:rRNA from 1 species
UACCGAGGGGGCAAGCGUUAUUCGGAAUUAUUGGGCGUAAAGGGCGCGUAGGCGGCCUGGCAAGUGGAAGGUGAAAUCCCUCGGCUUAACCGAGGAACUGCCCUCCAAACUGCUUGGCUUGAGUCCGGGAGAGGAGAGUGGAAUUCCUGGUGUAGCGGUGAAAUGCGCAGAUAUCAGGAAGAACACCCGUGGCGAAGGCGGCUCUCUGGAACGCAACUGACGCUGAGACGCGAAAGCGUGGGGAGCAAACAGG